rnacentral:tRNA from 1 species
CUUAAGAUAAGCUAAUUAAGCUUGUGGAUUCAUACUCCGCCUAUGGCCCCCCCCUCUUAAGA